rnacentral:rRNA from 1 species
UGGGGAAUAUUGCACAAUGGGCGCAAGCCUGAUGCAGCGACGCCGCGUGGGGGAUGACGGCCUUCGGGUUGUAAACCUCUUUCAGCAGGGACGAAGCGAAAGUGACGGUACCUGCAGAAGAAGCACCGGCCAACUACGUGCCAGCAGCCGCGGUAAUACGUAGGGUGCGAGCGUUGUCCGGAAUUACUGGGCGUAAAGAGCUCGUAGGUGGUUUGUCGCGUUGUUCGUGAAAACCGGGGGCUUAACCCUCGGCGUGCGGGCGAUACGGGCAGACUAGAGUACUGCAGGGGAGACUGGAAUUCCUGGUGUAGCGGUGGAAUGCGCAGAUAUCAGGAGGAACACCGGUGGCGAAGGCGGGUCUCUGGGCAGUAACUGACGCUGAGGAGCGAAAGCGUGGGGAGCGAACAGGAUUAGAUACCCUGGUAGUCCACGCCGUAAACGGUGGGUACUAGGUGUGGGUUUCCUUCCUUGGGAUCCGUGCCGUAGCUAACGCAUUAAGUACCCCGCCUGGGGAGUACGGCCGCAAGGCUAAAA